CUAUACAUGCAGUCGAGCGAACAGACGAGGAGCUUGCUCCUCUGACGUUAGCGGCGGACGGGUGAGUAACACGUGGAUAACCUACCUAUAAGACUGGGAUAACUUCGGGAAACCGGAGCUAAUACCGGAUAACAUGUUGAACCGCAUGGUUCAACAGUGAAAGACGGUCUUGCUGUCACUUAUAGAUGGAUCCGCGCCGCAUUAGCUAGUUGGUAAGGUAACGGCUUACCAAGGCAACGAUGCGUAGCCGACCUGAGAGGGUGAUCGGCCACACUGGAACUGAGACACGGUCCAGACUCCUACGGGAGGCAGCAGUAGGGAAUCUUCCGCAAUGGGCGAAAGCCUGACGGAGCAACGCCGCGUGAGUGAAGAAGGUCUUCGGAUCGUAAAACUCUGUUAUUAGGGAAGAACAAAUGUGUAAGUAACUAUGCACGUCUUGACGGUACCUAAUCAGAAAGCCACGGCUAACUACGUGCCAGCAGCGGCGGGUAAUAAA
rnacentral:rRNA from 1 species